rnacentral:rRNA from 1 species
AAUUGACGGGGGCCCGCACAAGCGGUGGAGCAUGUGGUUUAAUUCGAUGCAACGCGAAGAACCUUACCUGGUCUUGACAUCCACAGAACUUUCCAGAGAUGGAUUGGUGCCUUCGGGAACUGUGAGACAGGUGCUGCAUGGCUGUCGUCAGCUCGUGUUGUGAAAUGUUGGGUUAAGUCCCGCAACGAGCGCAACCCUUAUCCUUUGUUGCCAGCGAUUAGGUCGGGAACUCAAAGGAGACUGCCAGUGAUAAACUGGAGGAAGGUGGGGAUGACGUCAAGUCAUCAUGGCCCUUACGACCAGGGCUACACACGUGCUACAAUGGCGCAUACAAAGAGAAGCGACCUCGCGAGAGCAAGCGGACCUCAUAAAGUGCGUCGUAGUCCGGAUUGGAGUCUGCAACUCGACUCCAUGAAGUCGGAAUCGCUAGUAAUCGUGGAUCAGAAUGCCACGGUGAAUACGUUCCCGGGCCUUGUACACACCGCCCGUCACACCAUGGGAGUGGGUUGCAAAAGAAGUAGGUAGCUUAACCUUCGGGAGGGCGCUUACCACUUUGUGAUUCAUGACUGGGGUGAAGUCGUAACAAGGUAACCGUAGGGGAACCUGCGGUUGGA